rnacentral:rRNA from 1 species
GGCGUGCCUAUACAUGCAAGUCGAGCGGACCGACGGGAGCUUGCUCCCUUAGGUCAGCGGCGGACGGGUGAGUAACACGUGGGUAACCUGCCUGUAAGACUGGGAUAACUCCGGGAAACCGGGGCUAAUACCGGAUGCUUGAUUGAACCGCAUGGUUCAAUCAUAAAAGGCGGCUUCGGCUGCCGUUUACAGAUGGACCCGCGGCGCAUUAGCUAGUUGGUGAGGUAACGGCUCACCAAGGCGACGAUGCGUAGCCGACCUGAGAGGGUGAUCGGCCACACUGGGACUGAGACACGGCCCAGACUCCUACGGGAGGCAGCAGUAGGGAAUCUUCCGCAAUGGACGAAAGUCUGACGGAGCAACGCCGCGUGAGUGAUGAAGGUUUUCGGAUCGUAAAGCUCUGUUGUUAGGGAAGAACAAGUACCGUUCGAAUAGGGCGGUACCUUGACGGUACCUAACCAGAAAGCCACGGCUAACUACGUGCCAGCAGCCGCGGUAAUACGUAGGUGGCAAGCGUUGUCCGGAAUUAUUGGGCGUAAAGCGCGCGCAGGCGGUUUCUUAAGUCUGAUGUGAAAGCCCCCGGCUCAACCGGGGAGGGUCAUUGGAAACUGGGGAACUUGAGUGCAGAAGAGGAGAGU